GCCUUUUAAAAUUCAAAACAACACACGAACAUCUCUCUCCAGAAGGAAAGAAAUUUCCCAAAUCGAACUCUACCUUCCCAAAACAACACACAGCCAAUUACAACACAUCUCGCCGAUCGUCGUCGCACGACCAACGGUCCCCGGUCGUCGUGAAAAGAAGGGGGCAACACUAAAAAGUUCUCUGUAUCCCUCAAUUGAAAAAAUCGGAAUUUUGAAAUCAUCCCAGGCUUUCCACCCACAGUAUUCGGUCGCGUCACUCGUUGUUGCUAAACUCGCACGACCCACAGCAUUUGGUCGUCGUCAAACAUUCGGACACCGCAUGGAAGUUGCACGCCACCGCACUCCAGUUGCAUCUGGACGGGUCUCAAGACAGAUGCUAAAGAGCUUGUUGAUUGUUAUAGAAAAAAGGAAAAUCUAAAAAUUGAAGAAGAAAUUUCUGAAGUUUUGGGACCUCUACCAAUUGAAUGAUGUGUUACUCUGGAAGCAUUUCCUCUGCUGGUAUACAUGUAAAACAAAUGACUGACCCCCUGACUCAUGUAAAUUUUCAUAUAGUGGUGUAUGAAAGACGUUUCCAAAUUUCUUGAUUUUCCACCAUUUCAAUUAACACCCCCUCCCCAAUUUAGUGAUGAUAACUAAUAUGUGUUCCUCUAUUGGUCAUAUCAGUUAAAUUUAUUAAUGAAUUACUUCUGAAAAAUUGAACUAUGGGAGAAAAAAUACGGCAAUUAAUGUUGCUGCUUAUAUUUUGUUUCUUUCAUGGAUCUAAAUAUUUGAAUUGCUUAUCACAUUAUGUUCUUUUCUUUUCCAUUUGAAAAGAUUAUGAAAUGGAACAACUGAAAUCCAUUGUAUUUGGUGGAUUUACUAUCAGUUCAUGAUUGGCAGUAAUUGAAAUUGGCUAUUGGUCUGUGUUGGUACAAUGCCUGGAAGGAAUCGUGGGUCGUUAAAGAAGAGAAAAGAGGCGAAUCUAAUCGUAGCUCAACUCUCCUUAACAAUGCGAUGAACGGCCCAGAGGAAGAAAUCUUACGCAUGUUCGAUUCUAGAGUUCGGAUCAGUGACAAAGAAGAGCUCCAAAUAUGGGUGAAUGUGAGCGUCCGAGUGGGAAAAUAACCUGUAGAAGUCAAUGCAAAACGGGAAACGUCUCAAUGUGUUGCAUGUGUUGUAUUCCAGUAUUUAUCUGUUGAAUGUGUUGUAUUCCAUUAGCUAUUGGAUUUUGAGACUCCCAGGUUCACUUUUGAUUAGCCUAUGGGAGCACUUGCAGUUGUAACAAAAUUAUUCCAUCUCUAAAUGAAUCUGUAACCCACAUAUUUAUGUCAUAUUUGAUAAAAUAGAUUAUACACUCCACCGAACAUGUUCUUAGCAAUUAUCAGUUUUGAAAGCAGAAAUACCUCUUCUUUGGGUUACUGAUAAGGCCUCCAACAAAACACAUUUAUUCAGUUUCACAUUUGAUUUCUACUGGACAUUGUAGAGUCUAAUUAUAGUGUAUGCCUAGAUUGCUGGAUAUAUUGCUGAAAUGGAAU
rnacentral:lncRNA from 1 species